AGCAGUAGCCGCCACGGGAAUACGAAGGGUGCAAGCGUUACUCGGAAUUACUGGGCGUAAAGCGUGCGUAGGUGGUGGUUUAAGUCCGUUGUGAAAGCCCUGGGCUCAACCUGGGAAUUGCAGUGGAUACUGGGUCACUAGAGUGUGGUAGAGGAUAGUGGAAUUUCCGGUGUAGCAGUGAAAUGCGUAGAGAUCGGAAGGAACAUCUGUGGCGAAGGCGACUAUCUGGGCCAACACUGACACUGAGGCACGAAAGCGUGGGGAGCAAACAGGAUUAGAUACCCCGGUAGUCCCUGUCUCUUA
rnacentral:rRNA from 1 species